UACGAAGGGGGCUAGCGUUGCUCGGAAUUACUGGGCGUAAAGCGCACGUAGGCGGCUUUCUAAGUCGGGGGUGAAAUCCUGGAGCUCAACUCCAGAACUGCCUUCGAUACUGGAAAGCUCGAGUCCGGGAGAGGUGAGUGGAACUGCGAGUGUAGAGGUGUAAUUCGUAGAUAUUCGCAAGAACACCAGUGGCGAAGGCGGCUCACUGGCCCGGUACUGACGCUGAGGUGCGAAAGCGUGGGGAGCAAACAGG
rnacentral:rRNA from 1 species